UACGAAGGGGGCUAGCGUUGCUCGGAAUCACUGGGCGUAAAGGGUGCGUAGGCGGGUCUUUAAGUCAGGGGUGAAAUCCUGGAGCUCAACUCCAGAACUGCCUUUGAUACUGAAGAUCUUGAGUUCGGGAGAGGGAAGUGGAAUUUCGGGUGUAGCGGUGAAAUGCGUAGAUAUCAAGAGGAACACCUGAGGUGAAGACGGGUUGCUGGGCUGACACUGACGCUGAGGCGCGAAAGCCAGGGGAGCAAACGGG
rnacentral:rRNA from 1 species